UACAGAGGUCUCAAGCGUUGUUCGGAAUCACUGGGCGUAAAGGGUGCGUAGGUGGUUAUGCAAGUCAGAUGUGAAAGCCCGGCGCUCAACGCCGUAAUUGCAUUUGAUACUGCAUAACUAGAGUUUUGAAGGGGAGUCCAGAAUUCACGGUGUAGCAGUGAAAUGCGUGGAUAUCGUGAGGAAUACCAAAGGCGAAGGCAGGACUCUGGGCAAACACUGACACUGAUGCACGAAGGCUGAGGUAGCAAACGGG
rnacentral:rRNA from 1 species